GAUGAACGCUGGCGGCGUGCUUAACACAUGCAAGUCGAACGAAGCAUUUAGAACAGUUUACUUCGGUUUGAAGUUGUUUAAGAGUGAGUGGCGGACGGGUGAGUAACGCGUGGGUAACGUGCCUUGUCCUGGGGGCUAGGAGCUGGACACGGCUGGUCAUACUGCUCAAGCGCACAAUGUUGCAUGGCAUGGUGCGGAAAACUCUGGUGGUAUAAGAUGGAACCGCGUUUGAUUAGUUAGUUGGUGCGACCACAGCCAACCAUGGCGAGAAUGCGUAGCCGAACAGUGAGACUGAGCGGCGACACUGAGACUUAGACGCGGCACAGACUCCUGCGGGAGGCAGCAGUGCGGAAUAUUGCACAAGGGAGGAAACGCUGAUGCAGCGACGUCGCGGGAGGGAAGAAUUUAUUGGUGAUGGAAAGCGCUAUCAGCAGUGAAGAUAUUGACGGUACCUGAUGAAGAAGCGCCGGCUAAAUACGUG
rnacentral:rRNA from 1 species